CCUUCCCACCCAGGAGCCACCUCCGUGCUCUGAGCUGGCCCAGCCUGGCUGCAGAAACGGCCCCGCUUUGAAGAACAGCUGUGAGAAGGCUGGAAACCACAACCAGAGGAGGGAACAAGGCAGAAUUACAGCCUGAGCUGGGCUUUUUGGUGCUUUAAGGAUUAAAAAGGGGAAAAUGUUAAUAAGAAAUUAAGUGAAAAUAGGCACAACUUAAUGAAAGGUAUCUACGUAGCAAUGAUAAUGCUUCAGCCAGGAAAAACUCUUUUUUUUUUUUAAUCUCCCAGGAGUUUUGUGUGGCCAGCAAGGAUUUUCCAGGUGUUUUGUUAGCAGGUCUGGCCUGUGCUCAGCAGGGAGUGAGGGUGACUGCAGAAAGGAGUGUGUGAUGGGCCAAUAGAAAGAGGAUGGUUUGUAUUGGUGAAUCUCUGCUGAGGGUGGAA